rnacentral:rRNA from 1 species
UUAUACAGCGAAACUGCGAAUGGCUCAUUAUAUAAGUUAUCGUCUAUUUGAUAGUACCUUACUACUUGGAUAACCGUGGUAAUUCUAGAGCUAAUACAUGCUAAAAAUCCCGACUUCGGAAGGGAUGUAUUUAUUAGAUUAAAAACCAAUGCCCCCCGGGGCUCUCUGGUGAUUCAUGAUAACUUCUCGAAUCGCACGGCCUUGCGCCGGCGAUGGUUCAUUCAAAUUUCUUCCCUAUCAACUUUCGAUGUUUGGGUAGUGGCCAAACAUGGUUGCAACGGGUAACGGAGGGUUAGGGCUCGACCCCGGAGAAGGAGCCUGAGAAACGGCUACUACAUCCAAGGAAGGCAGCAGGCGCGCAAAUUACCCAAUCCCGAUUCGGGGAGGUAGUGACAAUAAAUACUGAUACAGGGCUCUUUCGGGUCUUGUAAUUGGAAUGAGUACAAUUUAAAUCCCUUAACGAGGAACAAUUGGAGGGCAAGUCUGGUGCCAGCAGCCGCGGUAAUUCCAGCUCCAAUAGCGUAUAUUAAAGUUGUUGUGGUUAAAAAGCUCGUAGUUGAACCUUGGGCCUGGCUGGCCGGUCCGCCUCACCGCGUGUUACUGGUCCGGCCGGGUCUUUCCCUCUGUGGAACCACAUGCCCUUCACUGGGCGUGGCGGGGAAACAGGACUUUUACUUUGAAAAAAUUAGAGUGCUUCAGGCAGGCCUAUGCUCGAAUACAUUAGCAUGGAAUAAUGAAAUAGGACGUGCGGUUCUAUUUUGUUGGUUUCUAGGACCGCCGUAAUGAUUAAUAGGGACAGUCGGGGGCAUCAGUAUUCAAUUGUCAGAGGUGAAAUUCUUGGAUUUAUUGAAGACUAACUACUGCGAAAGCAUUUGCCAAGGAUGUUUUCAUUAAUCAGGAACGAAAGUUAGGGGAUCGAAGACGAUCAGAUACCGUCGUAGUCUUAACCAUAAACUAUGCCGACUAGGGAUCGGACGAUGUUAUUUAGUUGACUCGUUCGGCACCUUGCGAGAAAUCAAAGUGC